rnacentral:rRNA from 1 species
ACGGGUGCGUAACACGUGGAUAACCUUCCUUCAGGUGGGGAAUAACCCAGUGAAAAUUGGGCUAAUACCGCAUAACAUGACGAUGCCACAUGGUGUUGUCUUCAAAGCCGCAAGGCGCCAGAAGAGGGAUCCGCGGCCGAUUAGCUUGUUGGCGAGGUAAUGGCUCACCAAGGCUUUGAUCGGUAGCCGGACUGAGAGGUUGGCCGGCCACACUGGAACUGAGACACGGUCCAGACUCCUACGGGAGGCAGCAGUGGGGAAUCUUGCACAAUGGACGAAAGUCUGACGCAGCAACGCCGCGUGGGGGAUGAAGCUUUUCGGAGUGUAAACCCCUUUCGACCCGGAAGAAUGCCCGCAAGGGUUUGACGGUACGGGUAUAAGAAGCCCCGGCUAACUACGUGCCAGCAGCCGCGG